AAGUCGUAACAAGGUAUCCGUAGGUGAACCUGCGGAAGGAUCAUUAACAAUGAAUCAUUCAUAACACUGUGCACUGUCGGGGUAAUACCCCUUAAACCAUUAAAUUUUAUCAGAGUCAAACUAUUUUAUAGUCUUGUACAACUUUUAGCAACGGAUCUCUAGGCUCUC
rnacentral:misc_RNA from 1 species